GAUCUUGACAUUGAAUUGGAUUCAAAAAAGAGGGAAGUGUCAAAGAUUGAGGAUUCCAAUUUGUCAAGGCAGGAAACUCCGGAGGAUCCAAUCCAGAAUCCCAUCCUGCAAUUUGUCUCUGCUGGUUCAAGGCCUCUAGGCUUCUUUAAACAGACAGGAUGCCCAGCUCACGGCUGAAGGCUGGCAUGGGACAGGGUCUAAUAAACUGAUUCGGAAAGGUACCGCUGGGAACUGAGUGACGACUGCCCAAGGUCAGGAGCCAGAGACAGAGCCCAUCAGACCCCAGGUAAGGGCUGGGCAAUACAGCGGCCGUUCGAGGGAAAAUCUGCCUCAGACGUGGCAUUUGCGUUCGGUUCUAAGAUGUGCAGAUUAGCAGCACAUGCACAUGGUAACUUAGGCAUUGGGAAAAUACAAUUUAUUAUUGUCAUUCUUUUCAGAUUAUCCAUUAACUUGUGA